rnacentral:rRNA from 1 species
GACGAACGCUGGCGGCGUGGAUUAGGCAUGCAAGUCGAACGGUAUCAUCCUUUCGGGGGUGAGAGAGUGGCGAACUGGUGAGUAACACGUAGGUUAUCUACCCUCAAGACGGGGACAACCCAGGGAAACUUGGGCUAAUACCGGAUGUGAGCAACUUUUAGUUGUUUGAAAGGUGGCGUAAGCUGUCGCUUGGGGAUGAGCCUGCGUCCUAUUAGUUAGUUGGUGAGGUAACGGCUCACCUAGGCAAUGAUAGGUAGGCGGCCUUAACGGGUGGUCGCCCACACUGGGAUUGAGAUACGGCCCAGACUCCUACGGGAGGCAGCAGUCGAGAAUAGUCUACAAUGGUCGGAAGACUGAUAGUGCGACGCCGCGUGAACGAUGAAUCCCUUCGGGGUGUAAAGUUCUUUUAUAUGUGAGCAGUGCUUCUUAUAUUAACAGUAUGGGGAGAGAGAUAUUAGCAUAUGAAUAAGCAACGGCUAACUCCGUGCCAGCAGCCGACGGUAAACUCG